rnacentral:rRNA from 1 species
UACGAAGGGGGCUAGCGUUGCUCGGAAUUACUGGGCGUAAAGCGCACGUAGGCGGCUUUCUAAGUCGGGGGUGAAAUCCUGGAGCUCAACUCCAGAACUGCCUUCGAUACUGGAAAGCUCGAGUCCGGGAGAGGUGAGUGGAACUGCGAGUGUAGAGGUGAAAUUCGUAGAUAUUAGGAAGAACACCAGUGGCGAAGGCGGCUCACUGGCCCGGUACUGACGCUCAUGUGCGAAAGCGUGGGGAGCAAACAGG